AUACGGAGGGUGCGAGCGUUAUCCGGAAUUACUGGGUUUAAAGGGUGCGUAGGCGGAAAUUUAAGUCUGGGGUGAAAUAUUGUGGCUUAACCAUAAGAUUGCCUUGGAUACUGGGUUUCUUGAAUUGGGAUGAGGAUGGCGGAAUGUGACAUGUAGCGGUGAAAUGCAUAGAUAUGUCAUAGAACACCAAUUGCGAAGGCAGCUAUCUGGUCUCAUAUUGACGCUGAGGCACGAAAGCGUGGGGAGCGAACAGGAUUAGAUACCCUGGUAGUCCACGCCCUAAACGAUGCUAACUCGAUGUUUGGCCCUUGAGGUUGAGCAUCCAAGCGAAAGCGUUAAGUUAGCCACCUGGGGAGUACGACCGCAAGGUUGAA
rnacentral:rRNA from 1 species